rnacentral:tRNA from 1 species
UGUGGCUUAGUGGUAGAGCACCUGGCUAGCAUACAGGAGAUCCUGGGUUCAUUCCUCAGCA